CCUAGGGCGGCAGCAGUAGGGAAUAUUCGUAAUGGGCGAAAGCCUGAACUAGCAAUACCGCGUGUGCGAGGAAGGCCUUCGGGUUGUAAAGCACUUUUUGAGAGGAUGAGGAAGGACGGUACUCUCAGAAUAAGUCUCGGCUAACUACGUGCCAGCAGCCGCGGUAACACGUAGGAGGCAAACGUUAUCCGGAUUUACUGGGCGUAAAGCGCGUGUAGGUGGUUUGGUAAGUAGAGCGUGAAAGCUCCUGGCUCAACUGGGAGAGGUCGUUCUAAACUGCCGGACUAGAGGAUGGUAGAGGG
rnacentral:rRNA from 1 species